AAAUGAAUUGACGGGGACCCGCACAAGCGGUGGAGCAUGUGGUUUAAUUCGAAGCAACGCGAAGAACCUUACCUGGUCUUGACAUCCCUUUGACCGACGAGUAAUGUCGUCUUUCCUUCGGGACAGAGGAGACAGGUGGUGCAUGGUUGUCGUCAGCUCGUGUCGUGAGAUGUUGGGUUAAGUCCCGCAACGAGCGCAACCCUUAUCUUCAGUAGCCAGCAUUUGAGGUGGGCACUCUGGAGAGACUGCCAGGGAUAACCUGGAGGAAGGUGGGGAUGACGUCAAAUCAUCAUGCCCCUUAUGACCAGGGCUACACACGUGCUACAAUGGCGUAAACAAAGGGAAGCAGAGCCGCGAGGCCGAGCAAAUCCCAAAAAUAACGUCUCAGUUCGGAUUGUAGUCUGCAACUCGACUACAUGAAGCUGGAAUCGCUAGUAAUCGCGAAUCAGCAUGUCGCGGUGAAUACGUUCCCGGGUCUUGUACACACCGCCCGU
rnacentral:rRNA from 1 species